rnacentral:rRNA from 1 species
GACGAACGCUGGCGGCGUGCCUAAUACAUGCAAGUUGAGCGCUGAAGGUUGGUACUUGUACCAACUGGAUGAGCAGCGAACGGGUGAGUAACGCGUGGGGAAUCUGCCUUUGAGCGGGGGACAACAUUUGGAAACGAAUGCUAAUACCGCAUAAAAACUUUAAACACAAGUUUUAAGUUUGAAAGAUGCAAUUGCAUCACUCAAAGAUGAUCCCGCGUUGUAUUAGCUAGUUGGUGAGGUAAAGGCUCACCAAGGCGAUGAUACAUAGCCGACCUGAGAGGGUGAUCGGCCCAAUUGGGACUGAGACACGGCCCAAACUCCUACGGGAGGCAGCAGUAGGGAAACUUCGGCAAUGGACGAAAGUCUGACCGGGCAACGCCGCGGGAGUGAAGAAGGUUUUCGGAUCGUAAAACUCUGUUGGUAGAGAAGAACGUUGGUGAGAGUGGAAAGCUCAUCAAGUGACGGUAACUACCCAGAAAGGGACGGCUAACUACGUG